UACAUGUGAAGGCCGAUGGGGUUGCAGUGAAAUGGUGGCUGCGACUGUUUAUUAAAAACACAGCACUGUGCAAACACGAAAGUGGACGUAUACGGUGUGACUCCUGCCCGGUGCCGGAAGGUUAAUUGAUGGGGUGCAAGCUCUUGAUAGAAGCCCCGGUAAACGGCGGCCGUAACUAUAACGGUCCUAAGGUAGCGAAAUUCCUUGUCGGGUAAGUUCCGACCUGCACGAAUGGAGUAACGAUGGCCACACUGUCUCCUCUAGAGACUCAGCGAAGUUGAAAUGGUUGUGAAGAUGCAAUCUACCCGCGGUUAGACGGAAAGACCCCAUGAACCUUUACUAUAGCUUUACAUUGGACUUUGAUAACAUCUGUGUAGGAUAGGUGGGAGACUUUGAAGCAGGAUCGCUAGAUCUUGUGGAGUCAUCCUUGAAAUACCACCCUGAUGUUGUUGAGGUUCUAACCCAGGUCCCUUAUCGGGAUCGGGGACCGUGUAUGGUGGGUAGUUUGACUGGGGCGGUCUCCUCCCAAAGAGUAACGGAGGAGUGCGAAGGUAACCUAGGCACGGUCGGAAAUCGUGCUGUUAGUGCAAUGGCAUAAGGUUGCUUGACUGCGAGACGGACAUGUCAAGCAGGUACGAAAGUAGGUCAUAGUGAUCCGGUGGUUCUGUAUGGAAGGGCCAUCGCUCAACGGAUAAAAGGUACUCUGGGGAUAACAGGCUGAUUCCUCCCAAGAGUUCAUAUCGACGGGGGAGUUUGGCACCUCGAUGUCGGCUCAUCACAUCCUGGGGCUGUAGUCGGUCCCAAGGGUAUGGCUGUUCGCCAUUUAAAGUGGUACGUGAGCUGGGUUUAAAACGUCGUGAGACAGUUUGGUCCCUAUCUGCCGUGGGCGUUGGAAGUUUGAAGGGGGCUGUUCCUAGUACGAGAGGACCGGAAUGGACAGAUCUCUGGUGGACCGGUUGUUACGCCAGUAGCAUAGCCGGGUAGCUAAAUCUGGAAAAGAUAAACGCUGAAAGCAUCUAAGCGUGAAACUUGCCCUAAGAUGAGACUUCCCUUGCACUUUAAGUGCACUAAAGAGUCGUUCAAGACCAGGACGUUGAUAGGUCAG
rnacentral:rRNA from 1 species